GACGAACGCUGGCGGCGUGCUUAACACAUGCAAGUCGAACGGAAAGGCCCUGCUUUUGUGGGGUGCUCGAGUGGCGAACGGGUGAGUAACACGUGAGUAACCUGCCCUUGACUUUGGGAUAACUUCAGGAAACUGGGGCUAAUACCGGAUAGGAGCUCCUGCUGCAUGGUGGGGGUUGGAAAGUUUCGGCGGUUGGGGAUGGACUCGCGGCUUAUCAGCUUGUUGGUGGGGUAGUGGCUUACCAAGGCUUUGACGGGUAGCCGGCCUGGGAGGGUGACCGGCCACAUUGGGACUGGGAUACGGCCCAGACUCCUACGGGAGGGAGCAGUGGGGAAUAUUGCACAAUGGGCGGAAGCCUGAUGCAGCAACGCCGCGUGCGGGAUGACGGCCUUCGGGUUGUAAACCGCUUUCGCCUGUGACGAAGCGUGAGUGACGGUAAUGGGUAAAGAAGCACCGGCUAACUACGUG
rnacentral:rRNA from 1 species